rnacentral:lncRNA from 1 species
ACUGGGCGUAGAAGGUACGUUCGACUUGGCUGAUACACAGAGAGAGAAAUAUUAAAUCUUUCCAUGUAAUAGCCAAUCGACGACGAGCAAAAGAUCGCAUGGUGGGACUAUAUGACGAACAGGGCACUUGGAUAACGAAUCAAUUCACCCUAAAAGAUAUGGCGGUCAGGAAUUUCUCGCAUACAUAUAUGAUAAACUUGUCUCAGUAACUCGCG